rnacentral:tRNA from 1 species
UAAAAAGGUAAGCUAACCCAAGCUAAUAGGUUCAUACCCUGUAAAUGAAAGUUCCACCCUUUCCCUUUUUAA